GCCCAACAGGCAGGCCCGGGGCUCGUGUGAAGAACACAGUGGAAGCAUCCUCCAAGCCAGCCAACAAAUUUCCGUUUUCUACUGCCCUUUCGGGCCAGGGGUUAUUUUAUGAGCAUCUCCGAUGUUGCACACGUGGCGUGUGAACCGAGAGAAAGAAGAUGGAGAGAUCACCCUCCAGACGUCGUCGCCUGGAAGAGGCCCCAAAAUUGCCAUAUAAGAACCCAACACACCUUGCUCAGCAGCAGGAACCCUGGAGUCGGCUCAACUCAACCCCCACAAUUACUUCCAUGAGGCGGGAUGCCUACUAUUUUGAUCCCGAGAUACCAAAGGAUGACCUGGACUUCCGCUUAGCAGCCUUGUACAACCACCACACUGGGACAUUCAAGAACAAAAGUGAGAUACUGUUAAACCAGAAAACCACGCAGGAUACCUAUAGGUAAGUGGUAGAGGCAGAGCCUCUCCAGCCUAAACAUGCUGCCAUCCAGUCAUAUAAGGUAAAAUGUCACCUGGAAAAUGAUAAUCACUAGGUACUCAUUUGUAUACAAAUUUCUGUAUUUUUACAUCUGUGUCUAUAAUAUAGUUUCUGUAUUUUCACUGUCUAAGAUGAACAGAAAUCUCCCAAGAUUGUGCUCAUCUGUAUAAACAAAAUCUUUGGUUAAUCCCACAGAGGUAAAAAGAGUCUUUGGCUGCUUUAUUCUUGAGAUCACAUUCAACUACCUUGCCUUCCUCACCUUUCUCUGAUUGAUUUCACUCUCCACUUUUCUUCCCUAUGCCUUCUUCUAGAACCAAGAUCCAAUUCCCUGGAGAAUUUUUAACCCCUCCCACUCCACCCAUCACUUUCCUGGCUAACAUCAGACACUGGAUCAACCCUAAAAAGGAGUCCAUCCACAGCAUCCAAGGAUCCAUAGUGUCCCCUCACACUGCAGCCACCAAUGGAGGCUACUCCCGAAAGAAAG
rnacentral:lncRNA from 1 species